rnacentral:rRNA from 1 species
GAUGAACGCCAGCUACAGGCUUAACACAUGCAAGUCGAGGGGUAACGAGAGGAAAGCUUGCUUUCCUUGUCGACGACCGGCGCACGGGUGAGUAACGCGUAUCCAACCUGCCCCCAACUAGGGAAUAACCUUGCGAAAGUAAGACUAAUACCCUAUAAUUUCCUCAGAUGUCAUCUGACGAGGAAUAAAGAUUUAUCGGUUGUGGAUGGGGAUGCGUCUGAUUAGCUUGUUGGCGGGGUAACGGCCCACCAAGGCAACGAUCAGUAGGGGUUCUGGGAGGAAGGUCCCCCACAUUGGAACUGAGACACGGUCCAAACUCCUACGGGAGGCAGCAGUGAGGAAUAUUGGUCAAUGGGCGAAAGCCUGAACCAGCCAAGUAGCGUGCAGGAUGACGGCCCUAUGGGUUGUAAACUGCUUUUAUACAGGAAUAAAGUUAGCCACGUGUGGUUAUUUGUAGGUACUGUAUGAAUAAGGACCGGCUAAUUCCGUGCCAGCCGCCGCCGUAA